rnacentral:rRNA from 1 species
AGAGUUUGAUCAUGGCUCAGGAUGAACGCUGGCGGUAUGCUUAACACAUGCAAGUCGAACGGAAUCUUCGGAUUUAGUGGCGGACGGGUGAGUAACGCGUGAGAAUCUGGCUUCAGGUCGGGGACAACAGUUGGAAACGACUGCUAAUACCGGAUGUGCCGAAAGGUGAAAGAUUAAUUGCCUGAAGAUGAGCUCGCGUCUGAUUAGCUAGUUGGUGUGGUAAGAGCGCACCAAGGCGACGAUCAGUAGCUGGUCUGAGAGGAUGAUCAGCCACACUGGGACUGAGACACGGCCCAGACUCCUACGGGAGGCAGCAGUGGGGAAUUUUCCGCAAUGGGCGAAAGCCUGACGGAGCAAUACCGCGUGAGGGAGGAAGGCUCUUGGGUUGUAAACCUCUUUUCUCAAGGAAUAACUCAAUGAAGGUACUUGAGGAAUAAGCAUCGGCUAACUCCGUGCCAGCAGCCGCGGUAAUACGGAGGAUGCAAGCGUUAUCCGGAAUGAUUGGGCGUAAAGGGUCCGCAGGUGGCAUUGUAAGUCUGCUGUCAAAGAAUGAGGCUCAACCUCAUCAAGGCAGUGGAAACUACAAAGCUAGAGUACGGUCGGGGUAGAAGGAAUUCCUGGUGUAGCGGUGAAAUGCGUAGAUAUCAGGAAGAACACCGGUGGCGAAAGCGUUCUGCUAGGCCUGUACUGACACUGAGGGACGAAAGCUAGGGGAGCGAAUGGGAUUAGAUACCCCAGUAGUCCUAGCCGUAAACGAUGGAUACUAGGCGUGGCUUGUAUCGACCCGAGCCGUGCCGGAGCCAACGCGUUAAGUAUCCCGCCUGGGGAGUACGCACGCAAGUGUGAAACUCAAAGGAAUUGACGG